GGGCAAGGCAGGCUGGCUGGGCAAGGACGGUUAGUGGCGGUGGCGACUGGGGCUUGCAGCUUGCCCUCACUCAGCAUGGUGGCAGAAGGCAGGCAGGGACGGACAGCUGGCUGGCUGGCUGGCUGGUGGCUG